rnacentral:rRNA from 1 species
GAUGAACGCUAGCGAUAGGCUUAACACAUGCAAGUCGAGGGGCAGCAUGGUCUUAGCUUGCUAAGACUGAUGGCGACCGGCGCACGGGUGCGUAACGCGUAUGCAACUUGCCUCACAGAGGGGGAUAACCCGUCGAAAGACGGACUAAUACCGCGUACACUCUAUUUUGGGCAUCCAAGGUAGAGGAAAUGAAAUUCGCUGUGAGAUAGGCAUGCGUCCCAUUAGCUAGUUGGUGAGGUAACGGCUCACCAAGGCGACGAUGGGUAGGGGAACUGAGAGGUUGAACCCCCACACUGGUACUGAGACACGGACCAGACUCCUACGGGAGGAAGCAGUGAGGAAUAGUGGUCAAUGGGCGAGAGCCUGAACCAGCCAAGUCGCGUGAAGGAUGACUGUCUUAUGGAUUGGAAACUUCUUUUGUAGGGGAAUAAAGAGGGGCACGUGUGCCCCAGUGAAUGUACCCUACGAAUAAGCAUCGGCUAACUCCGU